CAGUACCGCGGUAAUACAGAGGGUGCGAGCGUUAAUCGGAUUUACUGGGCGUAAAGCGUGCGUAGGCGGCUUCUUAAGUCGGAUGUGAAAUCCCUGAGCUUAACUUAGGAAUUGCAUUCGAUACUGGGAAGCUAGAGUAUGGGAGAGGAUGGUAGAAUUCCAGGUGUAGCGGUGAAAUGCGUAGAGAUCUGGAGGAAUACCGAUGGCGAAGGCAGCCAUCUGGCCUAAUACUGACGCUGAGGUACGAAAGCAUGGGGAGCAAACAGGAUUAGAUACCCCAGUAGUCCCUGUCUCUUAUACC
rnacentral:rRNA from 1 species